AAUAACCCAGUUAUUCUUGGACUACCCUGGCUUCAGCUCCACGAACCACAGAUCUCAUGGACUGAGGGUCAAAUCAUUCACUGGUCGG